AACGAACGCUGGCGGCGCGCCUAAUACAUGCAAGUCGAGCGAGAAGACGUAGCAAUACGUUUGUAAAGCGGCGAACGGGUGAGGAAUACAUGGGUAACCUACCCUCGAGUGGGGAAUAACUAGCCGAAAGGUUAGCUAAUACCGCGUACGCUCCUUGGACUUCGGUUCAGGGAGGAAAGCGAUACCGUGGGUAUCGCGCUCUUGGAUGGGCUCAUGUCCUAUCAGCUUGUUGGUGAGGAACGGCUCACCAAGGCUUCGACGGGUAGCUGGUCUGAGAGGACAAUCAGCCACACUGGCACUGCGACACGGGCCAGACUCCUACGGGAGGCAGCAGUAAGGAAUAUUGCGCAAUGGGCGAAAGCCUGACGCAGCGACGCCGCGUGGGGGAUGAAGGUCUUCGGAUUGUAAACCCCUUUCGGGAGGGAAGAUGGAACGAGCAAUCGUUCGGACGGUACCUCCAGAAGCAGCCACGGCUAACUUCGUGCCAGCAGCCGCCGUAAC
rnacentral:rRNA from 1 species